rnacentral:lncRNA from 1 species
GCCAUAACAGGGUAUUGAACUAUUAGAAAAUACCAUUUGGGUAUUUCGAUGAGAAGAAUAGAAUCUAUGAAGAUGCUAAACAAAGACCAUACAUUCCAUAUGGUUUGGGCAGAUAAAGAAGUAGUAAAACCUAUAUUCUAAAUUCUAAGCAAACCAUUCCUGGGCAGUGGCCACCGGAAGCUGGACCUCAGAGCCUGAAACCUGGAUGUCAAAACCCAUCACUUCGCAUACAGCUCAUUCUAGCUCACUCUGAUGGAAGCCAGCUGCUAUGUUGUGUGUUGCUCUAUGGAGAGGCCCAGGUAGAAGAAAUUGAAGGAGGCUUUCGACCAACAGUCAGCAAGGAACUGAGGCUUUCAGUCCAAGAGCCUAUAAGGAACUGAAUCCUACCAGCAACCAGGCAAGUGGUUUCAAAGUGGAGCCUCUGUCAGCUGAGGCUUUGAAUAAGAUCACAGCUCCAUGUAACAUCUUGAUUGUAGUCUUGUGAGAGAUCUUGAGCCAGUGGCACCCAGCUAAGCUGUACCUGUAUUCCUGAGCAAUAAAACCCCACAGAUAAUAAAUGUUUGUCAUUAACUGUGAAAUCUUGCAGGUAAUUUGUUCUGGAGAAAGAGAUAACAAAUACACAGAUCAUAUAAAUAAAGUGGCUCAGUUGACCUGGAACUCGGGGAUCUGAUUCCAGGGUCUGUAUUCUUUAUCUCUGUGCAAUGAAGACUUUGAUUAGCCUGCACUUUUAUAAGCUACUAUUUCCACCACAUUGAAUUUGAUAGUCUUUCAGUUCUUCUUUGAUUCUAUUUGUUCUUCUUUGAAAGAACCUUUUCUAACUAGAAACAAACUGUUGCUGAAAUGAGGUAUUAUUUUCCACGUAGGCAAUUUCUUUGAGUCAUGGAAAUUUAGGGUUAGAAGGAACUUAAAAAUCCACAUAGUCCAAAUCAAC